AACCGAUUUGGUCCUAGUCCUUUACUCAGCCCUCUCCGAAACGAUACAUGCAAACAAAUAGUUGACCGGCGAAAAUCUCUUCCCCUUAAACAACUAACAAGCCUUAAAGGAUACUCUAGGUAUCAGGAAUAAGAGACCGACUUCCACGCCCAAGACGCCUAGGGACUCACCACCCUUCUUCCACAACUCUUCCCCGCAACUGCAGUACCUAAAAUUAUACAAUGGGUAACCGCCCGAUAUAGUUACGGAAGACCAAGGCCGGUAAAUUAUGUGCCAGCCACCGCGGUUAUACAUAAGACCUAAACUGAGUAAACCCGGUAUAAAGGUAAUAAACAUCGGAACUAAAGGCACCACUGGCAGUAACAAGCUUACAAAAGCCUAAACCCAAACUCCUGCUCUGAAAUUACCAAGAUAAUCACUAAAGCUCAAAGAUAAACUGGGAUUAGAUACCCCACUAUAUGAGCCCUAAAACUCCCCACCCACCGGAGAACUACGAACUAAAGUUUAAAACUCAAAGGACUUGGCGGUUUUCUAGACCUCCCUGGAGGAGCUUGCUAUUUAACCGAUAACCCCCGUUACACCUCACCGGUCUUUGAAAAUUCAGCCUGUAUACCAUCGUCGUCAGUCUACCCCACGAGGGAAGUCUACCAAAAGAGUUUACGCCCCAAAACGUCAGAUCGAGGUGCAGCUAAUAGACCUGGGAAUAAGUGAGCUACAAUAAUCUUCGCUUUUACGUCUAUACCGAUUCAUGGAUAGCCUCAUGAAAAUUGAGGAUUAAAAUAGGAUUCAGAAGUAACACUUAACAGAAAGUAAGUGCGAACAACCAAAGCUCUGGAAUGCGCACACAUCGCCCGUCACUCUCGUCCCAAGAGGAGAAAAGUCGUAACAAAGUAGGCGUAUUGGAAAAUGUGCCUGGAAUAAC
rnacentral:ncRNA from 1 species